rnacentral:snRNA from 1 species
GGAUGUGAGGGCGAUCUGGCUGCGACAUCUGUCACCCCAUUGAUCGCCAGGGUUGAUUCGGCUGAUCUGGCUGGCUAGGCGGGUGUCCCCUUCCUCCCUCACCGCUCCAUGUGCGUCCCUCCCGAAGCUGCGCGCUCGGUCGAAGAGGACGACCAUCCCCGAUAGAGGAGGACCGUUCUUCGGUCAAGGGUAUACGAGUAGCUGCGCUCCCCUGCUAGAACCUCCAAACAAGCUCUCAAGUGUCUUUCCCAACCACUAUGACAUGAAAGUAGAAACCAAUAUCAGAAAGAAAAUUGAAAACUUUAUAAAAGUUUAAAAUU